AUUGAACGCUGGCGGCAUGCCUUACACAUGCAAGUCGAACGGUAACAGGUCUUCGGAUGCUGACGAGUGGCGAACGGGUGAGUAAUACAUCGGAACGUGCCCGAUCGUGGGGGAUAACGAGGCGAAAGCUUUGCUAAUACCGCAUACGAUCUACGGAUGAAAGCGGGGGAUCUUCGGACCUGGCGCGGACGGAGCGGCCGGUGGCCGAUUAGGUUGUUGGUGGGAUAAAAGCUUACCAAGCCGACGAGGGGUAGCUGGUCUGAGAGGAUGAUCGGCGACAUGGGGACUGAGAUAAGGCCAAGACUGGGACGGGAGGCAGCAGUGGGGAGUAGUGCACAAUGGGCGGAAGCGAGAUGCAGAAACGCAGCGUGAGGGAGGACGGCCUUCGGGUUGUAAAAAGAUGGGGAAUGUGACGAAGCGUGAGUGACGGUAAUGGGUAAAGAAGCAAAGGCUAACUACGUG
rnacentral:rRNA from 1 species